UACCAGCACCCCGAGUGGUCGGGACGUUAUUUGGGCCUAAAGCAUCCGUAGCCGGUCCUGCAAGUCUUCCGUUAAAUCCAGCUGCUCAACAGAUGGGCUGCGGGGGAUACUACAGGGCUAGGAGGCGGGAGAGGCAAGCGGUACUUUAUGGGUAGGGGUAAAAUCCGUUGAUCCAUAGAAGACCACCAGUGGCGAAGGCGGCUUGCCAGAACGCGCUCGACGGUGAGGGAUGAAAGCUGGGGGAGCAAACCGG
rnacentral:rRNA from 1 species